AACGAACGCUGGCGGCAGGCUUAACACAUGCAAGUCGAACGCCCCGCAAGGGGAGUGGCAGACGGGUGAGUAACGCGUGGGGACGUACCUUUCAGUUCGGAAUCACUCAGGGAAACUUGUGCUAAUACCGGAUACGCCCGUAAGGGGAAAGAUUUAUCGCUGAAAGAUCGGCCCGCGUUGGAUUAGCUAGUUGGUGGGGUAAUGGCCUACCAAGGCGACGAUCCAUAGCUGGUCUGAGAGGAUGAUCAGCCACACUGGGACUGAGACACGGCCCAGACUCCUACGGGAGGCAGCAGUGGGGAAUAUUGGACAAUGGGCGAAAGCCUGAUCCAGCCAUGCCGCGUGAGUGAUGAAGGCCCUAGGGUUGUAAAGCUCUUUCACCGAUGAAGAUAAUGACGGUAGUCGGAGAAGAAGCCCCGGCUAACUUCGUGCCAGCCGCCGCCGUAA
rnacentral:rRNA from 1 species